rnacentral:rRNA from 1 species
GGCUCAGAUUGAACGCUGGCGGCAUGCCUUACACAUGCAAGUCGAACGGCAGCACGGGAGCAAUCCUGGUGGCGAGUGGCGAACGGGUGAGUAAUGUAUCGGAACGUACCUUUCAGUGGGGGAUAACGUAGCGAAAGUUACGCUAAUACCGCAUAUUCUGUGAGCAGGAAAGCAGGGGAUCGCAAGACCUUGCGCUGAUUGAGCGGCCGAUAUCAGAUUAGCUAGUUGGUGAGGUAAAGGCUCACCAAGGCGACGAUCUGUAGCGGGUCUGAGAGGAUGAUCCGCCACACUGGAACUGAGACACGGUCCAGACUCCUACGGGAGGCAGCAGUGGGGAAUUUUGGACAAUGGGGGCAACCCUGAUCCAGCCAUGCCGCGUGAGUGAAGAAGGCCUUCGGGUUGUAAAGCUCUUUCAGCCGGGAAGAAAUCACAUGGGUUAAUACCCUGUGUGGAUGACGGUACCGGAAUAAGAAGCACCGGCUAACUACGUGCCAGCAGCCGCGGUAAUACGUAGGGUGCGAGCGUUAAUCGGAAUUACUGGGCGUAAAGCGUGCGCAGGCGGUUUGUUAAGAUAGGCGUGAAAUCCCCGGGCUCAACCUGGGAACUGCGUUUAUGACUGGCAGGCUAGAGUAUGGCAGAGGGGGGUGGAAUUCCACGUGUAGCAGUGAAAUGCGUAGAGAUGUGGAGGAACACCGAUGGCGAAGGCAGCCCCCUGGGCCAAUACUGACGCUCAUGCACGAAAGCGUGGGUAGCAAACAGGAUUAGAUACCCUGGUAGUCCACGCCCUAAACGAUGUCAACUAGGUGUUGGGUGGGUAAAACCAUUUAGUACCGGAGCUAACGCGUGAAGUUGACCGCCUGGGGAGUACGGCCGCAAGGUUAAAACUCAAAGGAAUUGACGGGGACCCGCACAAGCGGUGGAUGAUGUGGAUUAAUUCGAUGCAACGCGAAAAACCUUACCUACCCUUGACAUGUCCAGAAGCCCUUAGAGAUUUGGGUGUGCCCGAAMKGGAACUGGAACACAGGUGCUGCAUGGCUGUCGUCAGCUCGUGUCGUGAGAUGUUGGGUUAAGUCCCGCAACGAGCGCAACCCUUGUCGUUAAUUGCCAUCAUUCAGUUGGGCACUUUAACGAGACUGCCGGUGACAAACCGGAGGAAGGUGGGGAUGASGUCAAGUCCUCAUGGCCCUUAUGGGUAGGGCUUCACACGUCAUACAAUGGUCGGUACAAAGGGUUGCCAACCCGCGAGGGGGAGCUAAUCCCAGAAAGCCGAUCGUAGUCCGGAUCGUAGGCUGCAACCCGGCCUGCGUGAAGUCGGA